rnacentral:rRNA from 1 species
GACGGAGGGUGCUAGCGUUGUUCGGAAUGACUGGGCGUAAAGGGCGCGUAGGCGGCUCGUGAAGUCGGGUGUGAAAGCCCGGGGCUCAACCCCGGAACGGCAUCCGAUACUGGCGGGCUUGAGUUCGGGAGAGGUGAGUGGAACUGCGAGUGUAGAGGUGAAAUUCGUAGAUAUUCGCAAGAACACCAGUGGCGAAGGCGGCUCACUGGCCCGGUACUGACGCUGAGGUGCGAAAGCGUGGGGAGCAAACAGG